UCAGGAUGGAUCUUCACGUCGAGGAAAUUUUGUCGUGCACGUCUACCAUACCAUCCACAUUCAUUGUGUGAGCAGCAUACAUCCUGCCGAACAACUCUUUUUAUUGUCUGUGGAAGAAAGAAAAUUAUACUGAUUUGGAACAACAUGAGGAAUCGCUACCAUGAAACCCCAGUGUGAGAGCUUUGGGGUCAAAAUAAAUUAGCGCCAGUGAUUCUGAAACCUUGCAGAUUGGUGAAAGGGAUGUCAGGUAGUCCAGAUGGUGUUUUCAGCGGAAGGUGUGCCGACAGAAUCAACCCACCCUGCUUUUCAGAAAUACCUGGAAGUGUGAGGCUGGUAACAAGCAAUUGUAAAGGCUCCUGGAGAAAGAAAUAAUAUGAAUCAAUGCCAGUCAACAGCAGACUGAACUCUAGCGACCCAUGUGAGAGGAGAGAAGCUCUGGAGAAAGAGAUCCCAUUAAUUACAAAGCAAUAUGGUGGAUCCUAUAUGGUUCUGCUUGAGUUUCUCUCUGUAUCUGAUGGAGGAACCUUAAUAUGUCGUGCUGGGUGAUAAAAAUUGUAAAUAGAACUGUACCCUGUAUUCGAUAGCAGUCAGCAUGUGCUGGUCUGCAGGGGCUGCCUGAGGGAAUGAGCAAUUUCAGGCUCCAGAGCAGCGGUGUGGAGGGAGACCCGCUCAUGUGCGCAGAAUGUGGAUGAUAUCUCUUGGAGAGAGACACCAUCUGAUGUAGCGGUAUUGUAUG